AAAAAAAAAGAAAUAGAAAAAAAACAUGAGGAGGCUUAUUUCUUUGAUGGAGGGCUGAUAUCCUAGGUGAUGGGUGAAGGGAGAUCAUUUGGUGUACCAAGUUCAUGAUGUAAAUUCUAAUCCUUUGCUUUAUACGAUUUAUCUUUUGAUUAUGUCAUGAUUCUUAUAUGUUGAAAAUUCUUUUAUGAUUUAUGCUUAUUGAUACAUGUCUUCCUCGAUUAUUUGAUUCAUCGUUGACGUUAUAAGGCACGUUGAAUGCUUA
rnacentral:lncRNA from 1 species